GUUUCUUGCUUAUGAAAGUUCUGUUUUGGUAAAUGUGGUUCCUUCAAGAAGGAAGCACACAUCUUUCGUAGGUCAGAAUAUGUACCAUCAACCACGAAAGAUAGACUCAUUUUUACGGUGUCAAAUCAACAAUCUCGAAUAAACUAAGACUUACCAUGCACAUUGCCACAUUUUCCUGUCCCUAGGUCGCCCGCCCUUGCCGACAAGCGCUCCUGUCCUUCGUAAGUGACCUUGAGCACAAAACCCUUAACACUCUUUAGGCCACUCUAUGCUACUGAUUGAGCAAUUUUGAAUACUUCCGAUCGAACUUGAGCACAUGCAUCCUCAAUCUCUUUUAGUGGUUGCACCUGGUCUCUAUGACCAAUGUGCAAAUGGCACAGGUAUGUCGUCCGUAUAGUUCUCCACACCCAUUGCGGUGUGCAGACAUGCGGGUCGACGGUACAUCCAACAACCAAGUGUGGUUGUUGGUUUCAGCAGGCUUAUAUCAUCUCUCCUUUCAGAUGUGACAACGCCUAGCCAGGAAGGUGGCAGCCAGUACAUCACAGUGGCUAACAACAGUGUAGCCAGCAGUGACCGAGAUGGUGGGACAACAUCAUCACAUGUAACAUAGUUAUGCCCUAGUUAAAUCCUAUCACAAAUAGUUAUCAUAUCCAGUUAAUAAAUUCAUUUCACAAAGUGUU
rnacentral:lncRNA from 1 species